ACCUCAAAAUGACGACGACCGAGAGUGUUAUUGUGACAACAAACGCAAUUCUACAAGAAAUUAGAAGAGUUUUAUUCCCAGAAACCUCUACGAAAGCCUUACACAAAGCACAAAAUUGAAACAGUUAUACAGGACAUUGUAGCAGCUACGCAGAAACCAGGAAGAAAAGAAAGGCGCGAAUACUUUUUGCUGCAGACAUAUGAUGUUAUGACCAUUUCUGACCAAUCACAUUUAAUAAAGAAACAUAAAAGCGAGGAUGAAAUCGAUUUUGUAGUGGCGUACGAAGAUUUAUUUGAGGAAUUAUGUGAUUAUCAUAUCAACAAAACAGGGCACGGUGGUCGCGUUAAAAUGGAAGUAGCUCUCAAAAAUAAAUUGAAUAUCCCACGUCCGGCCAUAGAAUGUUUUAUUCAAUG